ACGAACGCUGGCGGCGUGCUUAACACAUGCAAGUCGAACGGUGAAGCGCCUUCCUUUUUGGUGGGUGUGGAUGAGUGGCGAACGGGUGAGUAACACGCGAGUAACCUGCCCCCUUCUUCUGGAUAACCGCAUGAAAGUGUGGCUAAUACGGGAUAUUCUGGGUCUGUCGCAUGAUGGGUCUGGGAAAGAUAUUGUUUCGGUGGGGGAUGGGCUCGCGGCCUAUCAGCUUGUUGGUGGGGUGAUGGCCUACCAAGGCGGUGACGGGUAGCCGGCCUGAGAGGGUGGACGGUCACACUGGGGCUGAGACACGGCCCAGACUCCUACGGGAGGCAGCAGUGGGGAAUAUUGCACAAUGGGCGCACGCCUGAUGCAGCGACGCCGCGUGAGGGAUGGAGGCCUUCGGGUUGUGAACCUCUUUCGCCAGUGAAGCAGGCCUGCCUCGUUUGUGGGUGGGUUGACGGUAGCUGGAUAAGAAGCGCCGGCUAACUACGUG
rnacentral:rRNA from 1 species